rnacentral:lncRNA from 1 species
AUGGGAGCUUGCAUGACCAUCUGUUUGAUUCGGAUGAAAAGAAGUUGAGUUGGCCUAUUCGACAAAAGAUUGCAGUUGGAACAGCCAGAGGACUGGCUUAUUUGCAUUAUGGAGCACAACCUACUAUAAUUCACAGGGAUAUUAAAGGUAGUAACAUCCUAUUGGAUGAUGACUUUGAGCCUAAAGUUGCAGAUUUUGGCCUAGCAAAGUUUGCACCCGAGGGAGUCACACACGUGAGCACUCGGGUUGCAGGAACAAUGGGCUAUGUUGCCCCAGAGUAUGCUUUGUAUGGGCAGCUGACUGAGAGAAGUGAUGUUUAUAGCUUUGGCAUUGUUCUUCUUGAGCUUAUAAGUGGGAAAAAAGCACUUCUUGAGGCCGAGGAGGACCAUCACACGCUUGUGGCAGAUUGGGCAUGGUCAUUGGUCAGGACAGGGAGACCGCUGGACGUGGUUGAGGAAGGUAUUCCAGAGUUAGGCCCUCCGGAUAUUCUUGAGAAGUAUGUGUUGUUAGCUGUGCUUUGUUCUCAUCCUCAGCUGUAUGCCAGGCCUACUAUGGACCAGGUUGUGAAGAUCCUGGAAUUGCAUUUGCCGGUUCCAGUGAUUCCAGAGAGGUCCAUUCCUAUUACUGCUGAUAUUGAUGAUAUAGAAAGAUCCAUUGGCAGCAUCAGCGCAGCUCAGUUGUCCACGUAUUCCGGUUAUCAGCCAUACAUUGAUAAUUCUGUGCCUUCCACCCCAAAGUUGUAGGGGCUGAUAGAAUGCAGGUUAGUGUUUUAAUUUUGAAAUGUAAGUAAGGGAAGUGCUGUUUCCUUGGACUUGUGCAAGAAGAAUCUUUAUAAGCCUCUUCGAGCUUUUUUGAUUCGAGUGGAAAUGUUACAAAUAAUUAGAAAUCAUGUCCAUCUCGUUACUAACUAUAAUUAACCAAGUUCAACGGUCUCAUAUAUAAUGAGGAAUCAUGACCACCCUCGUCAGUAUUUGUAAUCAACCGAGUUCAUCGAUCAUAUUCGGACUCAUUAACAAUCAAAACCAAUAUCAUGAAUUACAAUUUACAAGACAUGCGGAGAGCAUUAACCUACCUGCUGCUUGGAAUACGAAUACCAUCUGCAUAUUUUCAUUAACUGUCUUUCUAAUGUGUGCCCAAGGGCACACAAUAAGCACGUACUUUCAUGAAAAAAAGCUUGUUUUGAUUGGUGGAAUUGGUGUGAAUGCAGGGGGCCAUUAACAUUUAUUACUCAUCCACCAAUCAAAAACUAGUAUUUUCAUAAGAGUCAGUGACUAUUGUGUGCCCAUGGGCACACCACGGAAAAUUCAUUUCACUAAUUAAAUGAAUAUUUUAGUUCGUAUAAAUCUGUAGUAUCUCCAGACACUGACUUACAAGAUCCCGCAUAUCUAAGAAUUGCAAAAAGUUUGUACUACUCCCUCCGUCCCAGUCAAUUGUAUACGUUUCUUUUUCACUGCUCGACACGCUUUUUCAGGCUCUUAUAAAACAUAGUUCUACAACUUAUUUUUAAGAUUUUCUUUUUUUGUAUAAAAGUAUAAAUGUUAUAUUUUUAUACAAAAAAAGAAAAUCUUAAAAAUAAUUUACAGAACUAUACUAUAUUGAAGCAUUAAAGUCCGUGCCGCGCCCCCGUCUCCCAAUGUAUACUAUUGACUGGGGCUCUUAUAUUUAAUUUAUUUAUGGAAGUGCUCAUUGCGUAGCUUAAAAAACGGGGUGAUACCGAGACAAGUGGGAAUUCUAUAAACAUGUCUUAAAAAUGGAGGAUGUUGGAUAUAUUAAACUUACCAGGCCGCAGUUUCACCGUCAUCGAUCAGCGAUUCAGCACACACAAGGGAAAAUAAUUAUCGAAUAUAUUCCAAGCUCAUUCCUCAUCUCAUGCAUGCAUAGGUUUGGCUCCUCUCAACACUGGCCAAACCGGCUCCAAGAUACUCUACGAGGCCCAACAAUUAUUCAUCCUCCUGCUCCGUGGGAUAACCAAAAAGCCGCCUCAACUUCGUCUGAGUCACAUCGUCAACUACCUCAAAGCAGUUCUUAGUGUUCAGCUGGUUGAGUUGGUGCACUGACGACCUAGUUUCAUAGUUUAGUUCUCUGGAAGUUUUCGAAUUUUUUUGGAUCCGUGGAAACUAGGGCCGGCUCCAACAAAUAAAAAGCCUAUGCAAGCGCGAAAAUAAAUAAAUAGGUCCAUGGAUACAGUGGCGGAUCUGACUAUAAAGUUAAGAGUGGCGGAUCUGACUAUAAAGUUAGGGGGGGCAAUUUUUUUGUAAAAAAAAAAUAAAAGAGGUCACAAAAAAAUUAAGGGGGGUCAAUUUCAAUUUUACAACCUAAAAUUAUGUAUAAUAUUAAAAAAAAAUAUAAAUUAAGGGGGUUCAGUUGCCCCUCUUGCCCCUUCUAAGAUCCGCCUCUGCGAUGGAUAUCUAAGAACUAAAUUUUUUUCUUAAAAAUAGCUCUACCUGCAUUUCUAGUCUCUAGAUGCACACUCAUUCAUCAGAAUCUCAAAAUCAAGAUUUUCGAUUAGAUCUCUUUUAAUAAAUAAUAUUACUGAAUCACUUAAUAAUCUACUGUGACAUAGCUGAACGCAGAUAAUUAAUAAGAUAUCUUUAUUGUAAUUGCUAUUUGUUGUGAUUAGUUCUUAAAUCUCCUAUUAUAAUUUUACUAAUAGCCUUGUAGUUCUCAUUGAUGCCGAUUUUGGUGUGAGUUGAUCCCAAAGAAAAAAAAAGGGGUAGAGAUCAGAAAUGGCGGUUUGGUUUUCCACUUUCUAACCUUGUUUUUAUCUCAAUUUGCUAUCUAAUGUAGGUUGUAUAUUAUAAUUUUAGGGUCAUGUUCGAGAGAGAACCUCAGUGGUUUUAUAGUUCUGUAGUUCUAUUUUAAGUAUCGGUUCUCUUUUCAACGCGACCCAAUAUUAAUAUAUAUAAUUUUUUUAUUUUGAAAAUGAGCCUUGUGUAAAGCAGGUUCACGCCAUUGCAUGAGAUGCAUAGGUUUAAAGCCGGGCCUGAUGGAACCAAAACGGCUGAAAAUAGUAACAAAAUUUUCUGAGAUUCCAAGGCAAUAUUUAGAACCAAAACAGUCAAUAAUCAUAACAAAUUCAAAACUAAUUCAGUAAAAUAUAAUUUUUUUUUUAAAAAAUGGUUCAACAACCAACAAAAUCAUAUUAUUAUAACCAAAACCAACCCAACACACAGACUGCUGGGUUGAAAACUGAAUACGAAGCUUCAAAUAUGUUGUUGCGUUUGUGUGGACAGUGGACUCAAUUCUGACUACUUACUAGUGGAAUGCAUAUUACACUACUGAGCAGCUACAGCAAUGGAGACUGCAACUUCUUGGACUUGAAUUAUAAAAAUCACCCACGUUGUGCUAAAUAUAUUAAACCAAGGAAACACAUGAGCGCAAAUAUUUCUGGAAGACUAGUAAUUAAUUACCACACCCUAAAUCAUCAAGUCAAUGAUUUCCACUGGCAUUAAUAUUUGCUUGAUGAUUAAGAAUCCUUGGUUACUUGCAUAAAAUCUUGUCGUGUGAUCAGAGACUCAGAGUCGUCGCAUAUUGCAAAGUUACAAUUUCGUAACUAAUCUUUGGUGUUUACCCAUUAUAAUUUAAGAUUUUCUAUAGAUGGUCCUGACAAAUGAUUGUGACAAUUACCUCCGUGCUGAUGUUGAACCUGCUAUAUAGGACAUCAAGUUUGAAAAGAAAAGCAGUAUAUGCAAGUUUAGUUUUUAAGUGGAUGUUUCUCAGCAGCUAGCCUAAAAGGCAUUUCAAUACAUUCUUAUUCCCAAAAGUGCGCCUUAAACUAAUAACAGAAUGAUGAAAUUACAACUUUCCAGCCGCGUUCACCUGUCACUUCUAUCCUCACUAGUCAAGAACAUCCAAAACUCUUCUAGUUUCGUCCCUUCCAUGAAGCCAGAACUGAGUACUUAAUCAGAUAAUCUUUUGAUACUUCUAAUGCUCUAACGAGUCGUCGUUACUUGCACCUAUCAUUAUCAAUGUCAGUACUCCAAAUUUUCAUCGUUCUAGUUUUCGGGUUCUGUUCUCUGUGUACAUCUCAGCCUACUAGCGCAAAUACCUCAGUGAAAUGCCCCCUUAACUUCAAUGUCCUCAAGGAACUCGCUCAAGGUUCUAGGCCUUCCAACUCAACUGAGAAACCAUGUCGAUCAAUUCUCCAGGGUCUCCAUUAUGUCCAAUCCGAUUACCUCCGCCGCACAAACUCAUUCCUUCCCCCAUCUUCGGCUUCUGAAUCUUGCUGGAACGAUUACCAAGACCUCUUCAAUCAGUUCCCAAACAGCUUUGAUAUUCGCAAAACAUGUGCAUUUGAAACACCCUGGAUAUCUCAGGGCUGUGAAAACAUCACAACAAGAUCUCAGUACGAAAAAAUUAACUCAAACUCGGUAGCUAAUGUUUCCAAGGCCUGUAACCAGACGUUGGAGAUCAGCGGGGCAGCUUGUACAGAAUGUACUAUAAGUAUUUCUGUGUUGAAACCAACUGAUCAGGUGAACAAGGGGAACCAAUCAGUGGGGAAUGUUUCAGAUUGUAUCGCGUAUAGGUUUAUUUAUGCUGGCGCUUUUGGCCAUUCGUUUGGCCCGGCUGAUAGAGGUACUGCAGGGUGUUUGUUUAGUCUUACUUUUGAUGAUUCCAAAUCCAACAACAAACAGAGGAAUAUCACUUUGGUGUCUGUGUGUUUGGCAUCAGGGUUUUUGAUUAUGGCGGUGCUGGGAUUUUCUUGGUUUUGGUGGAUUAGGCGAAAGAAGCAGCUGGAAAAGAUGAAGAGACAGGAGGAGAUUACUAGGAAGUGGAGUAAAAUGAGUUCAUCUGCUCUUGAUUCAAUCACUAGUAGUACUACGUUGAUCAAGUUUUCGUUUGAUGAAAUUCAGGAGGCGACCAAGAAUUUCUCAAGGGCGAAUAUCAUUGGGAGGGGAGGGUAUGGUAAUGUGUAUAAAGGUGUUCUGCCUGAUGGGACUGAAGUUGCAUUGAAGAGGUUCAAGAAUUGUUCGGAUGCUGGUGAUGCGAGUUUUGCUCAUGAAGUUGAGGUGAUUGCAAGCGUCCGCCAUGUGAAUUUAGUGGCACUAAGAGGGUAUUGUACAGCCACCACAAAUUUUGAAGGGCAUCAGAGGAUUAUUGUGUGUGAUUUGAUGAAGAAUGGGAGCUUGCAUGACCAUCUGUUUGAUUCGGAUGAAAAGAAGUUGAGUUGGCCUAUUCGACAAAAGAUUGCACUUGGAACAGCUAGAGGGCUGGCUUAUUUGCAUUAUGGAGCACAACCUACUAUAAUUCAUAGGGAUAUUAAAGGUAGUAACAUACUAUUGGAUGAUGACUUUGAGCCUAAAGUUGCAGACUUUGGUCUUGCAAAGUUUGCACCUGAGGGAGCGACACACGUGAGCACCCG